UACUUGGAAUAUUUCUCUUUCCAACUUAUAUAAACACAAAAAGUAUUAUGAGCCAAUCCUCUGCACUUACACGGUUUAUGCUAUAAAUAAACAUUAUACACAUUAUGGAAACUUUAUUUACGACAAAACUGACCUUAAUUAGCAUUUUGGGAAAAAAUUAAAAAAUAGUAUAGACAAAAUGUUAUAAAGUUUAGUAUAUUAUAAAUAUAAACGCAUUUAGGUAUAUUCUAGACAUUAUAAAAAAAUAGUAAAAAUUAAAUAAGUACAUGAAAAUACAUAUAAAAUAUUAUCUCAAUGUUUGACAUAAAUAAAUCAAAAUUUAAUGUAAUAAAUAAAAUAUAAAUUUGAUAAAAUAAUAAAUAAGUACAAAAAUAGAACACAACUCUAAUGUCUUUAAAAUAACUUAUCAUUAAGUUUUAAAUACUUAUGGCUUAAUUUUUCAAUAUAAUAUCAAAAAUGGUAGUACAAAAAUAAAAAUAAUAUUCAAAUUUAUAUUAAAUAAUAGUAGUAUAAAAGAGUACAAUUAUAAUUGGUUAGGUUUUAUUUGAAAACGUUUUAAAUUUAUUUCUUUUCAUUUUUGUUCAGUGAUAUAAAAAAUAUAGUUUUUAAUAGAAAAUAACACUUAUGCCACUGCCAUUUUCAAUUAUCAAUUUAUGUUUUCUGUUUUUAUUUUUAUUAAGGUUAUUGCAUUUUUAUUAUUUAAUAAAGUUUUCAACGAGUUUUCCAGACCCAAUUUGUAUAAAACAUAUUAUUAUUCAUUUCAUUUAAUCAGAUUCAAUGACUUAAUGGAUAAAUAAAAUAUUAUAAAACGAGAAAACAUUAUAAUUUGUUUUGUUUUAUUUAUUUUUUUUAUUAAAAUAUAUUAUUAUUGUUCAAUUUUAUUAAUAUUUAAAAAAUAACAUUAAUAAAAGAUGUUUUUAAAGUAAUUUUUUUUCUUUAAAUUAAAACCAAAAAUGACAAGUCUACAAUAAAUAAUAAUAAUAUUUAAAAAAUAAAUGUAUUUUAAAUAUUCAUGUAAAAAUACGUAUACAUUACAUAUUAUAUUUAUAUAAAUUCAAUCAUUUA